rnacentral:rRNA from 1 species
AGAAAGGGGCUUAACUGCAUUUUUUCUUACACAUGUGUUUUUCUUUUUUUGAAAACUUUGCUUUGGUAGGCCUUCUAUAUGGGGCCUGCCAGAGAUUAAACUCAACCAAAUUUUAUUUAAUGUCAACCGAUUAUUUAAUAGUCAAAACUUUCAACAACGGAUCUCUUGGUUCUCGCAUCGAUGAAGAACGCAGCGAAAUGCGAUAAGUAAUAUGAAUUGCAGAUAUUCGUGAAUCAUCGAAUCUUUGAACGCACAUUGCGCCCUUUGGUAUUCCAAAGGGCAUGCCUGUUUGAGCGUCAUUUCUCCCUCAAACCCUCGGGUUUGGUGUUGAGCGAUACGCUGGGUUUGCUUGAAAGAAAGGCGGAGUAUAAACUAAUGGAUAGGUUUUUUCCACUCAUUGGUACAAACUCCAAAACUUCUUCCAAAUUCGACCUCAAAUCAGGUAGGACUACCCGCUGAACUUAAGCAUAUCAAUAAGCGGAGGAAAGGA